GCUUUAUAAAAGCUAAGCCAUGAUUUUACGUGUAGCUGCUUCAUAGAAAGGUGGUGAUUCUGUGAAUCUGUGUGUGAAUAAGAGUCAGUGCUGCAGAUCAGAUUCUGUUUCAUCAUGGAUGACACACAAACAUCCACAGAUGAAGAUGUUUCUCCAGGAUGCAGUUCAUUUCAUCAGAAGAGAUCAGAAGCAGAGUCCAGCUGUGUGUCUAUGAGGAGUGACGCGUCUAUGGGUCGUAAAAUAGAGUUUAAGAGUGGAGAUACAAAGACUGAUCUCAGUUCAGUUCAGCAGAAGAGAUCCAGCUGUGUGUCUAUGAGGAGUGAUGCUUCUAUGGGUCGUAAAAUAGAGUUUAAGAGUGGAGAUACAAAGACUGAUUUCCGGUACAUUUUUAUAUAAAUGGGUAAUUCCGUGUCAACUCAACCAGAGGUCCUCGGUUCAAAUUUUAGAUUUUGCUAAUAUUUUGUCUGAAGAAAGAAAAUAGUGAUGAACAGGGUGCGAUUUGUAGGGGAGGGGGCUGGUCUAUGUAUCCCUGCCUCUGAUAAAAAAAAAUAUAUAUAUCCCCCGGGUGAUGUUACUCCAUCAACCACCAACAGAGCAUAUACAAUACCAAAAAUAAAAAAAUAUAUUUUUUAAAAUAUCAGCAAGUAAAAUACUGCAACAUGACAAUACAAACAACAAUUAAAUCAGAAAUGGACUUGAAAAUGACUAAAACCGU